GUAGUUAGGAAACAGAGAAUAAUAGGAAAUAAAAUAGUUGCAGCUGGGAUUCGAACCCGCGAGCCGCGCCCAAAACAGAAUGCAACCAACCAACUGGGCCAGCGGGCUUUAUUAAUAAGAAGGGAAGCGAAAAAUAUAUAAGCAAUAGUAGUUAAUAGAAAUAUUGGAGUUAUAAAGUGAGAACUUAGGGCUUGAUUACUCGUGACCAAAAAAAACCCUACCUCUUCUUUCUCUCCCGACGCCGUUCUCUGCUCGAACGAAAACACAAAAGAGGGCUUAGGGCUUCACUCCGGCGGCCGGCCAAGGCAAGGUUCUAUGGAUUCUUCACACCGCCGAGCUCCUCUCGACGAGGAGAAAUCUGGAGCACGAGGAGGAGCCGCGAUUUCGAGUCUUCCGAUCAGAGCUCCGAGACCUAGAAGUCCUCCUUGCGUUCGGUUGUAAGUCCAAGAACGCUAGAUACAGGAAAGAAAAAUAUAUAGAAAGGAAGGCGACAAGGAGGUGUUCGAAGGAUGUGUGAUGCCAGGACUAUGGAAGCCUUGAGAUUAGGAAAGAGUUUUAUUCUAGUUUCUAUUGUCUUUUGUUAUGUUAGAAGUAUUUGAGAUAGUACAUGAUAUUGUGAUGUGAUUAGGACAUAGUAGAUGAAUUGUGAUA